GUAAGCUCGUCAAUUAAUUUAGCAGUUAAUUUACCUUUUCCUCCGAGGCCUUUUACAUUUUUUUUUAAAUUUCGCAAACGAGUGCCCAUUCUCUUUUGCACGUGAUCAAUGCACUCUUUCUUUUUCACUUCAAAAUUUUCGUAAGUCAUUAGGCUGUACCCUUCGAGCAGGUAUCGAUGUGCCGUAGGUAGUCGUUUUGGAGCAGCCCGACACGCUUAAGAAAGAGCGCGAAAUUUCACACAAAAAAUUUUGUAACAGACAUAAGACUUUUUUUAACUCAUUCUAGAAGGUUCAAAGUAUUUUUUAAAGCAAUAAAAAAAAAAUCGAUUUUUCAAAAAUUCUACAGUGGUGUUACCCCUUAAGAUACUGGAAUUAAGAUGAGUUAAAGAAGUAAUGAAGAUUCACCACAGUGUACGCGGGCUUUUACCGCAUGGAUCCCAGGAUUAAUGUACGUUUCGCGUUAAUGCAAUUCCGCGUUUCACCUUUUUAUUUAGUAAUCGUAAAAUAUGCGCCACAUUUUAAAAUAAAUGCGCGCUGCAGUGGGGAUGGAGAGGCAAAGAUACAUUACAUAUGUUGCAAUACUCUAAAAUAUUUUUGGGCUCUUCAGUUCGACAAUAUUAUAUACAUUUGACAUAGCAAAUAGAUUAUUUAUGUUUAUAUUAUUCAUAAACAGAUAUCUGAUGUUAAAUUAUGCAGUUAUACAAUAGGCAAUUAUUCAUCGAUGAGAAUUAAUUUGGAGCUUCCGCAACAAUAUAAUAACUACGAAAACUUAUUAACCGCAAAAUGAAAUCCCGUUGGUCACUUGAUUUUACCGUUAAGCAUGCCGUAUAAGUUUUAAAAGGCUUUCAAAGAGAGUUAAAGCUGAUCGUGGUCUUCUCCCUUCGACGUAAGCCUUCUUUUAAGUUGAAGUUUAACGGAUAAAGAACAUACGCGGGCACGUGCACGUUAUCGGCAUUAUAACGUUUAGUGUGCGUCGAUUUAACGAUUCUAAGGUGUUCCGGAUUGGCGAGAAUAGUCGGCAGGAUGGAUUAGAAGGAGCCGGGAUAGUUUCGGAUUGGCCAGAAUAUACCGGGAUAAGCAUGAUUCGCUCGUAUCCCGAACACCUUACGAGGUGGUGACUCUUGCCUCGGUUCGCGCCUCUCUUCCCCUUUGAAACGUAUUUCGUUUCGCCAAGAAAAGGAGUAAAGGACGGUAGGAGCCUCUCUUCCUUCUCCUCGUCGCUGGUAACUCCACCUUUCCGUGCGAUAAGAUCGCUUUGGCGACGGUAAUAAAGGGAAGUAGAGUUCAACGGGGGUAAAUCGAGUUACCUUCGCCGGUAUCUCCGUCCUUUUUCUCCCCGGCAGAUCUCCUACUCCACUUCGUGCUCGCUCGCAUUCUUUUAUGCCGGGGCGUGGAAGGGCGGAGGAGGGCUUUUAGGGAGGAAGGUUGAGAUAGGUCAACCAGGGGAGAACAGAAGCCUCAGUCAAAGACCGUCUCUCCUCUGCGCGUUCCACUCUUCCGUCUUAGGGCAACUAGGAAAACGAUCGUCAAGUGCGGAAGCGGAGGCCGCGGUGAUGAAGUUACGACGCUGGGGUUUUUUUGAUUCCUUUAAGCUGAUAACGAUCGAUCGUGAGCAAACACGCGACAGAGAAGCGAAGGCGCGCGAGAGGAAGAUACCGAUCUCUCUGACGCUUCUUACAAGUAAGAAUAAGGACGUGUACUCGAACGUCGCGUUGAACCAAAGGUAAUCAGCAGCGUUUUUCAGCUUAUUGGAUAGGUCUUGGGCCACUAGAAUCUAUUAAUAGAAUGAGAUCGAGAGCUGAUUAUACGAGGGCGAACAUAGAGGUAAAAAUCUCCGUUAAACUAAAUUCCGUAUUGCGAUUUAAUAAAUUUGCUUAAUGAUACGAGAAUAAAUUAUCGAGGGUUUUUUAUAAAUUCCAGAUAAAAUACUUUUAUUCUUUACAGUUUUUUAAGUCUGAGAUUAAAUAUCUUUUAGUAAAAUACUUUCCAAUAAAUUAAUAAUCGAUAAAAUAAUUUCAAGAAGGUUAAAUUAAAUACGGCCGAAAAUUAUCUAGAUUUACUUCGAAGGACAGAAAAAAAAUUUGAUUAAAAGUACAAGCCAAAAGUAAUACGAUAAAAGAGCAACGUAGAAAUGCAAAAAAUCGAUUUGCAUCUUAGAAUUGAAUUGAAAUGAAACAAAAGUUACGGCACAGAAAUUUCUUCGUGAGAACGUGGCUUGCAAGAUCCCGUGUUAUAUUUGUCGUAUCCGCGUUCUUUCAGGUUUAAAUUUAUUGAAUUCAUGUAGCGAACCGUACGAGAAAGUCGUGUUCGUCUAUAGCCAGAGCAAUCUACCCAGUUCGUUUCGCGGUCGGGACGAUGGCGGAAUAAGUGGGAACUUUAGCGCAACAGCGAACGGAGAAAGAGAGAAAAGGAUCCUUUCCAGUACCUUAACGACCUUAAGAGAACGCUUUCGAAGGCGAUAGAUAGAGGCGAAGGUUCGAGCGAUGGCGGUAACGUUACCGCUCAUAAAAUUUUAGAGCGAUUUGUUCCUACUCCGGCGAACCGGCCGCUACGAAGUUUUACGUCGCGGUUGGCAAAGUUCUAUCGCUCGUUCGCAUUUCCCGGCACUUUGCGCGAAUCCCGACGACUCGAUCAACUCUUUCAGUUAGCCUUUCCGUUAUUCACGUCGCGACCGCGAGGAAUAAUCGUCGGGCGCGUUUGACUCGACCGUACGAUUAAAUCAUCCAUAAACCACGCAUGAUUCAUAAGAUAAUGCGGCCUUUGCCUUGCAACGGAAAUGAUAAUAAUCUAAGUUUGUAGUCGCGGAUGAAAUGUGUACGUUAUAUCGCGAGACGGAGGUAUUAUAUAGUUCGUAAAGAUUCAUUGAAUAAAUAUUCUGUUUUGUUCUUGUUUAAUUUCUAGCUGGGAUCAUAAAGUAGUUUGUUAAGUAAGCGCAGCAUUAAAAUUUUUAAGUAGUCAGUUAAGUAAAGUUAUUAAGUAAUUCUAGUUUCAAAUUAUUAAAUUAAAUGAAGAUUAAAUUAUUCUUGCGUAAACUUCUCCUGAAGCUUAUGUUACCUUAAUCUUUGAUCAACUUACACCAAUAUACAAUAAAAUGUCUGCAUGCAUUGUCCACGAAAGGAUCAAAUCCUUUCUGGCAGGAAAUCUUAGUCUUCAACUAACUAUGCUGAAAAAAAUCGCAUUGAGAGUUUCGUUGAAGAAAAAUUUCUCGUUGCCUCUGAAGAAACUCAUAAAGUUUGUUAAUAUUCAGUCUAAAGACGUUCGCGUUGCACAAUCGACCAAUAUCCGCACCAUUGGACGUAUUGGGCAAUUAAAAUUCAGGUCGUCGACGCGCGCCUGACAUCGUCGAAACUUUAGUUGCGCAGUUUGGAAACUAGUUUCUCGAGAGAUAGGAGCUAGCGACCAUGACGCGACCCAAUAAUCCGAGACCUAUUACUAUUUCCGACCUGUUUGUACGAUUUCGGGCAGGGGGAUGGAGGAGAGGGCCAGCCUCUUUACGCAUAGAUGCCGGCAUAGUCGAGGAGCUUGUUUCUACGAUAAAUUCUUAAUCGGCGGUGAGGGAGUCGGCGAACAUAGAAUGGUACGAAGAAGAGGAGCCUCUGCGAGCCGUUUAAUUAACGGGAUCAGCGUAAACGUGCAAUUUCGCGGAGGCCAGGAGCCGUUUAGCGAGCGGCCCUUGUUAUGUCGUUAAUUAGUCGUUGACUCUCGUACGUUUCAUAAAGCUCGAAGAACAUUUUUAAUUUUGUCUUGUGAAAGGAUUGGGACGAUGUAACACUUUUACUAUCGAAUUUACAUGAGGAAUCAAUUACGAUGUAGAUUAAAGACGGCUUUGAAACAACAUUAUUUUAAAGAUUUAUAUCGUUUGUACUCGACAGUUAAAUUCUUACGACAAAAAUUUACGGAGUUCAGAAAAAUCUUUCAUCAUGUUAUUUUUAUUUACUUAAAUUCUUAAAGUAAAAGUAUGAUGAUUAAAGAUUUGAGAUCUUACUGAUUUUUCUGUGAUUUCGAUUAAGAUAGGUAAUUUCACUGAUUAAUUUGUUAUUAUUAUAAGAGUAUCAUUGAAAUUAGACUGUUUUUCAGCGAAUAAUGCACUGAUUCCGAUUUAGAAAAUAGAUUUACAAAAUUCAAGAUAAAAAAGAUUGUGAAAAAAGAUAAUGUUCGCUUACUGUUUUAUUUAUUUAUUCAAUUUUUAUAUUCGCGAGUAUAUUACAGAUAGAAGUGUAACGAAGACUAAAUUUUUGUUUUGUUUCUCUCUUUUAUUUUAUUUCAUUUCGUAUGAAACGGUACUUAUAUGCGAGUGGCUUGUGCGUAACGCAAUAUUGGUAAUGUGUUUUCAUGCAAAUUUAAGAGCUUAGAUUUUAAUAAGGCACACCGCUUAAUGAGGACGACCCAGCCAAAUGAAUGAUGAUGACCAAGCCCUUUGGUCGAAAUGGUCUUGUUAUCCCAUUGAUUAAUUCUCCAUCAUGCGUUGAUUAAAUUCUGCCGAUUGUACCCGUUUACGGCCAUUAUUCUGCUAUUCACGUCGUUUGUCAGUGCAUCUGCAACAGAUACUAAUUAUCGACAAUAAUUAGAAAAUUAAUAUAAGAAUUUAACAGAUCGCCAUAGUUAAUUGAAACGUUGCAUUUAAUAUAGCUCUACCCGUGCGGGGAGUAUAGAAUAAAUAAUUUAUUUCCCACAAUUAACACGAUACUAGAAUAACAUUUAAAUAUGAUAUACACGAGGUAUAAUGAAUAUGUUUAUAUCAAGCUUUUCGAAACAAUGUAACAUAACACUAGCAUUAUUGUUUUGUUCGAACCAUCAUGAUCUAUCCGUGUUCGAAGAUUAUAAUUUCCGUGAAUGAGAAAGAAGCAUAAAUUAUAAUAAUAAUUAAAGUCUUUCAAUAUAAAUUUCAAGAUAAUGCGUACUCAAAAUUAACUAAGAAACGUAAACUUGUUAUACAAAUUUUAAUUCCUUUUUAAUAGUUCGAUACUGUAUCACUCGAAGAUCUGUAAAUAUCAUUUUGAAACAAUCACAAUUGAUCUGCGCCAUCUUGUUUCUUCACACGUAGAAAACGCUCGAUUUUCGAGGGCGCAUAUAUGCAACGCUAUUAAUAUAAAACGCGUUAGCUUAUACGCGGUUAUGAUAUAAUCGGAGAAAUGAAUUCUGUCAGGAAUUCGCGCUUCGGAGCACACGUUGCGCCGACACGUGUUUCACGCAUGCCGCGUCCCUCUGUUUGCGUACUCGUGCCAGUGCACGUUUACGUAACGACACGCUGAACUCAAAGGGCAAACGUUGCCCGGGUGCAAACGGUGCUCAUUAGUACCUACGAGAAUGCAUUAGGAGACAGCUUAGCUCAGACGCGCCUCCUGGCCGUCCAUUAGCGGUAUCGCACGUCUUGCGAAUUACACGAACGCUUAUUAAGCUACCAAAUUUCCGGAUGACCGACGUAAACCUAACGCUAGGCGGAAAGUCCGACGUGAAACGCAAUUCAUUUCAUUAUCGCUCGUUAGAGUUUGCGGCGCGUUUAUGUCAGCGUGUUUCGAGGAGAGUCAGCCCGCGCCGCCGCCGCCGCCGCCGACGCGGCGGCUUGUUCAUGAACUCCCCCGUGACUUGGUUAUAAACGUAAUUCCAGCAAUUAUAAAUCAGAUCGGGUUGUUUAAGACAGUUAAUUAUGCAAUGACGUAAGAAAAAAAGAAAUUUAUUCGAUAGUCACUAAAUGUAAAAAAAAAAAAACGAAAUGUGCCGUUGCGUCAUACAAAUAAGAUCGAAGCAAAUACUUUUAGCAAAUAAAGCUCCCUUUUUUUGCUAAAAGUUUGUUUAAAGUUUCUUGCUUCGCGAACACAAAGGCGUUGCGCUUUUUCAUUACACUAGGCUCAUCCCGUUGAAGCUCAUCCAAAGUUAAAUUUGUUUAAGACUGUUUUUUUUUUAUGUUUUAUUUUUGUAUACACGCACCAGGAGGCGCUCGUUUUAUUAUAACAAACAACACUAUUGUGUAUCUUGUUUGUGAACGACGAUGAUUAAUAUAAUUUAUCAUUGUCAGCGUUCUUACCCGUAAAGAAAUACUUAAAAAAAAUCUCGAGAGACUUACGUAAAUGGAAGCCUUAAUAAUUACUCGUCCGCGACGUGCGAUAGUAAUUAAGGUAGAUAUUACGCAAAAUUUAAUUACGGCGGAUCGUUCAAUAAAGAAUCGUUGUGCAAGGAAACCGCAUGCAAACGGGACGCAGCCCUACAGAGCGGCGGAUGAUUAUUAAUUAUUCCUUGUACAUCCUUGUAAUAAUGGCCGCAACGUUGCUCUAACAAAGUGCCUUCCUACUCACUACAAGUUAAUCGAAACUUUAUACCCCCUCCCCAUGACGAGUACGAUUUUAUAAUUGUCUUUCUUCGCAUGUAGAACUUUAUUUAUAAUCCAUUAUACAACAAUUUGCUUAUCCUUAUCAUGAUUUUAUUGUAAUCAUUAUUUGACACUUUUGUCAUAUUUUUUAUUUUAUCCGCGUUUAUUGGUACAAUCAAGAAAAUUUAUAUCGAAAAAAUGUAUCAUGUCAACGUAAAAGAAUGAAAUAUUAUUCACGAUCAAAAAUUUAUAAGAUUUGACAUUUAAUAUGAUUGAUAUCUUCCACAAAAGAGAGAAUUAUUGUCUCACUUUUGCUCUCGUUAACUUUAGCUAAAUGUAGAAACUAAAUUUCCUUAUAACCUUUUCCGAUUGGUCUUAUUUAAACUUCUGUUUUUGAACGGCGUUUAGCAUCUUCCAUAUUAUAUUUGUAUCUUUAACGUUUCGUCCAUUACACCUUUAAUCUUCAACAUACUGAAACCUCUGCAUUUUACAAGGUUCUUUAAACGGCUGCGAAAGUCUGAUUCCUGUACAUCUUGAUACGACAUGAUAACGAGUAGAAGUUUAAUUACACGCAGCUGUAUAAAUGUCUGUCAUUUUCUUUUUCUUUUUGCUAGAUUCUUGCGCGAUGGCGACUAUCGCGCGGUAACUACAUCUUCGCUUUCCUUUGAAAGAUAUCUCGCGCGUGGAAAAGAUUGAGUCGGGAGCCGUAGAAACCGAUUUCUUUGAUGUAGAUGCAUUUGAUCAAGAAAACUCUUCGAGCUUCGUAUCGUGUUUAAAGAUACAUUUUUACUUCCUCUGCGCGCGCCUGAACGCGCGGAAACAUGAAGCGGAAACUCAAAUCGCAGCUCAAAAAGUUCGUUCGAAGCUAACUUUAUAUCGAGAGAAACGCGAGGAGAGCACGCGUUUUUCUCCCCCAUUAAAAUGCUUUCGCGUACAGCGGUGCAGCUUUUGGCGCGCGAGCUACGCCACGAGAAAAGUCAAGUAAAUUGUUUUUUCUGUUAAACGAGAAAGUGCGCGCGCGAGAGAGAGAGAGAAAGAGAGAGAGAGAGAGAGAGAAGAGAGAGAACAUUUGGUAAGCAAACUAAUCUCUUAAUUCCUCGAGCUUGAAGAGCGUAUUUUGCCGCGCUAAAUCGUGCCAAUCCGAAAUUAUUCUUUCAGCACGGUAUUACAACUCAAAACGCAAACACGCGUACACAUAAUCUGACGUGUUCAUAUGUAGAACACGAGGGAAAAUAUUUGCGCGUCCUAUAAUGGACGUUAUUUAAAAAAAAAAUACGUCUGAAAGCUCGCUCUUUCCAUUGUCCAUAAAAGAGUUGUACCCGCGGGCAAAAUUGUCGGGAAAAUAUAUGGUUAGCACACUGUGCUGUCUCGUGAAUCUUUUAGGGAUCGCAUGGUUUUCUUAGUGUUAACAAAAAAUUACGAAAAUAUAUUACACACUUCCAUCAGAGAGAAAGCCUUUGGCGAGUUAAUAAUCGUGACCUACAAUCUCUUGGUUAUCUCUACGAUUCUAUUCGGUGGAUGUAUUGCUACUGGUAUAAAAACGGCGUUUCUUACCCAUACUUUAACUUGGUAUCCUUUCUAGAAAGCAUGCUGAAUACAAUAAUAGCAGAAGAGGUUCCAUUUGAACGCGCACGAUGAUAACAUUCAUUUUCAGACUCAGCAUUUAUAUUCCAUGCACCGGAAUAUCAGAUAAAAGUUGAAAGAAAGUAUAAUAGCAAUCGUAUAAGGAAAUAAAAGAUUAUAGAAUUCGUUUGUAUGUAUUUCAUGAUACAUUGUCAAUAAGAUUACAUUUUUUAUGUAAAAAAGAAUUGAUGAUAAACUAAUGAAAAAUUAAGAAAAUUUGGAUAAAUUAAUAGAAAUUAUUACAUUGCGAGUAAUGCAUUAUUCGUCGACUCCUUGUUUUUCAUUUAAAAUUAUAUACAUUCCUUUGUGUGCAUUCGUGCAUAAACUCCAUCAUCCAUUCGCAAAUCCGCACCAUUCUCACGAAUAUCGUGACGUAUCUGCUACGUACAGUCACGCACACACCUGCAUUGUUUAGAAGCGGAUAUAUUCUCGCUCGGCUCGUAAUUAAUUCGAGAUGUCGAGUCAAGACGAUGAAUUCUCUCCCCCUCUCCGCGCUUCUCUUUUUCUCCCGGCGACAGGUGUGAUACAGACGUAUAACGCGAGCUUUCUCUAGUCGCCCGGAGUCGUCGGGGUCUCGGGAACGCCGGUGCGCUACUACGUCUUGCAAGUUCGCACGAGAAUCCGGAUUCUGCUUCUUGUCUGCACGAAAGCGUGCCCUGCCCUCGGUAGACAAGAGAUCGCAAAUUGGUAAGCGCGCAAUCUCCACGCGAAAUCCGGCGAAAUGUCGCGAAAUAAUUUCAACGUUACGUUACUCUCUCUCUCUUCCCCUCCCUGUCCUUCCUUUUCUCUCUAUUUAAUACCUCUCGUGUUGUUCGAGCAAUCUCUUUCUCAUUACUGGCGUUAAAUGUAACCCCAUUAAUACAACAGAUUGCCGCUACAUCGUUUUAAUUAAAUUUCGAAAUUGCUGCGAUUAUAAAGAUAGAAUUAAAGCUGAAUCGUCGGAAAUCGUAUGUCAAAUAUAUAAGCAUGAAAAUUUCCAUAAUUCCAAUUAACUUCGAAUAAAGCAAUAUCAUCAUUUUUAUAUGAUUUUUAUUUAUUGCAUCUUGCCUCCGGCGUCAGCCUCGAUUAUUAUUGUAAAAAAAGUUAUUUAAAAUUAUAUUGCAUAUAAAAUUUGUUGUAAAACAAAUUUUUAAUCUUUCUGCGAUGCUGCAUUAGUAUUUAUCGCCAUUGAUAAAUGUUUUAAAUCAAAUGCAAAUUAAUCCAUAUUAAUUAAUGUUUAGAGGCCAUAUAAUUUCUCACUUCUAUGAAAUAAAAUUAAGCUUUAUAAUAAUUAUUAAAAAAAAAAUUUGAUACUUUUUAUGAUGCUGAUAUUGAGUAACAGUGAAAGAAAUGAAUCAGAGAGCGAUUGCUCAACACUUUUAUUAGCAUAACUAUUUUAUACGCAAUGUAUAUUGCGUAUCUAACGAGAAAAAGUUGAUCCGAAUGUUAUCAUUUAAAUCAUCAAAAUCUCGUAAAAUUAAUGAAAUUAUUUUGGCUCGGCAUUCUCCAGUAAAGAAAACAGCUUGCUUUUGUAUAAUAGUAGAUAAAGUAAAAAUAUGAUAGCAAAUUUAAGACUUAAAAAUAAAAAGAGUUCGCAUUAGAUUGAUAUAAAUCGCUCGCAAUGAUAACAUUUUUUUAUCAGCGCAAACUGUUACAAACAAUUGUUCAUAGCGUGGGCGAUCGUAGAGAACAGAUGAUUAACGUAACGCCAUAGUGACAGAUACGUCAUUCUUUCUCGAUAAUUGUCUAGAAUGAAUUGGCAAUAUCGCUGGUUAACAGGAGCCCAUUUUCAUCGAUCGCGCACAAUAAAUACCGUUAACGUGGGAUAUUACCCGUUCGCACGUUUUACGACACUAAUUUACGGCGUGGCGCUAUUAGCUCAUUUACUGAGUACCAUCGUGACGUGUAACGGACAAGAAAAAAUUGACUUUGACUUUCUCGCAACUUGGAAAUUACUGCGACGAUCGGACGGAUUUUUCACUUUGCGCAUUAGAAUAGGAGAUUCGUUCUUUAUGCGACAAUUUCAAUUGUUUGCCUUUUUCAAUCUCUCAUGUGAAUAAGGAAUGACUAAAUUAAUAUUACAAUUACUAAAAUUUAAGUUAAUUUGCUCACCCGUCACCCCUCGUUAAUUUAUAAGCUCGUAGAUUCAUGAAUAUCAAAAGAGCUUUCUUUAUCAUUGCAACGGGAACAUGACGUUCACUCUCUUUGACCGAUGAAGUUAAUGUUACAAUCGUCAAGCAAAAUAUUAAGCUGCUUACUGUAAAACUUCCUUUGUGUUAAGUAAAGUCACAUAAAAGUAUUAUAACAAAAUAUUAAGCUGCUUAUUUUGUCAGAAUUGAAAUCCCAGAAAACCGCAUAAAAAAGUCAAUUUUAAAAUAAAUAGCUCGUGUUACUCGGCGUACGAAAUCUCUCGGAAUUAGAGCCGCUUUCGAAACAUCGGAAUGAGAAAGAUGAAAGCUGAGACGGCGAUUAAAAGGACGGAGCAUUAAGGACGAUACUUCGGUUCGUCCGCUCGCUUUGCUAAGAAAAGCGAAAGAGACGUCUUGAAGGAAAAAAAAAGAAGAAGGCGGAAAAGGAAGAAAUGGAUGAAGGAAUACGGGGAGAAGCGGAAACAUGGCGGAGCCGCGGAUGGAAUUUACUGCUCGCGUCGGAAGUAUUCUAAGGGGGUUGCUUCCACGCUGUUGGGUAGCAGAAAGUGGAAGCCGGAGCCUAGGCGGGUUUAUUUCAAUGUCUACUUCGGGCUCUUAUAGCGGCACGAUUUCUUACAGCGCGACCACGAUGCCUGUCCUGAAAAUAGCCUUCCACCAAUAGUGCAACAUACGCGACUUUUGGACCAGUUUCUCUUUAUUGUGUAGCGCACGCUGUAUUGUAGAUAUUAAUAUUUUAUGAUAUCUAUUGUUUAUUAUUAAUUAUAUAAUCUAUGAUUUCAUCGUUUGUCAUAAUACGCGUUAUUUAUUAUUCACAGUAUGAUUUAUUGAUUUAAAGUACUUACAGAGAUAAAACCGAUUUAAUCUUCCGAUAGUUAUUCGAUACUUUAAAUUGAUGGAUUGUGCAAAAUUUCACGGGUUUUACCGCUGUUACAUUAAUCUCUUCUUUCCGUACACACAAAUGUUUUGAAGCUCACAAAACGACAGGAUACAAAUUAAAUGUUAAUUACCAUUGGAAUCGAUACCGGGGGAUAAAUAAACAAAUUUAUUCCGAAGUGCCAUAGAAGUUCCAAAAGGACGAAUAAAGCACUUGAACUUUGGAAUAAAUUGCAAUAGUUGAAUGGCAUCCUUAGUUGCUUUUAUUUUUCAAGUAGCGACGAAGAAAGUACUCUUAUUUUAUCGAGAAAAUUAAUUUGAAGUGGAUUUCCUAAUAUCAACGGAUGUUCACUAGAUGAUCGAAUGCAAUUAAACGGUAUCAAUGUGAUGGCAAAGCGAGGUAACGAAAAAAAAAAAAAUAAUAAAUAAAAAGAAAAUAGUGCUGAUCAAUGAGUUUUAUGAAAAAUUCUUAACAAGACAAAAUUAGAAUAGAUGUUUCCGAACAUUCUACACCACUUUCAUCGAGAUUUAUUUAAUUCUUUCAUCAAAAAUGAGAUACCAAAGUCGUCUGCUUCUUCCCAUAUUACUCUUUACAUUUCGUCUUUAUAUGUGUGAAUAAAAAUUCACAAGGAGGAGAAAACGCACACAUAAAAAAGAUAUUAUAAAAAAUAAAUCUAUUGAUACUUUAGAAUUAAAUAUUGAUAUGAAGAAACAUUUUGACAUAACAUGAAUUGGCAUGUAAUUUUUUGAUAACAAUGUUUAUUGUUGUUAUUUGUUAAUUAUUAACUGAUAAAUUGAUAAUAUAAAUAUGCGUUAAAAAUAGAAAAGCUAAAAGAUUGAGAAAUCUGCAUAGAUCAGGAAGACUAGUUUUAUUAUAUAACGAAAGAAUGUUAGGGAUACUCCCAAUUAUUUAACAAUCUAUUGUAACGAUACAAUUGCAUAGCAAUAAUCGUUAAAAUCGGGACAAUGCAGAGUGCACGGGGACGAGCUAAAAUAACCUUCUGUGAAUAAAACGUCUCACUAAAGACCAUUACGAGCUUAACGAGACAUUUUCGUGGGACAAAAGAAUUUUUUAUUUAAUCUCGCGCCCAUAUCGAGACUAUUGUCGGAGGACAAUUGCGUCCUUCCUUCCUCCUGAAUUUUCAUAGGACGCGACAUUAAGCAUCGACAUGCCAAGGGCAUUAUUCUUUCGAUCUCUUCCCUCGAUUUUUUCGCAUUAUUCCUUAACGACGAUUGUCUUGUGAUUUUAUUGACGAUGAAGACUCCGCUUGCUGUAAAUGUACAGAGAUUAGCGCAGAAAGUAAUAUUACGAAUAAAUAAUAAGGCUAAUUUAAAAACUCUUUACAAACGGCAACCAAUUGCAUGCUAUUUUUUCACAAGAAAUUAAAAACAAUCUUUUACUUAGAAACUUUAUUUCAUGAUAAAUUUAUUAUGUUACGUCAUACGCGACAUAAUUGCCUGUGACGUAAUUUAUAUAAAGCAUCGUUUUUUUCUUUUGAAAAAUGUUCUUCUAUUUCUCCGUCGAUUAUUCAACGAUUGUAGUUCAGUACACAUUUAAGUGACGUUAAAUGAUGUCGAGCUUUUCUUAAUGAAGCAACGGAAGACGGUUCCUUUGUAUUUCUCGCGGAAAAAUCGUGUUCUUGCGUGGCCGAUUUAACUGGAACGUCUAAUAAGGGUAGAAAGACCGGAACAAAUCCUGGUUUAAUGCCUUCUUGAGGCAUUAUCCUCGCGAAGGACGCCGACCGCUGGACCGAAACCCUUUUCUCAAGCACGCCAAUUUCGGAGUAAAUAUUUCUUUCUUCCAAUUAUCUCUCCUAGAGCGCCGCAUCGUGUCUCCUCAGUCUCCCGCGGCGGAAGACGCCCCGUAGAAUACCAGCAGCGUUCCGCCUUCAGCUUUGUAUUCAUUACGGAAUCUCGUCAAGUCUUAACUUGAACAAAUUGCCGAGCCGAGCUACUUCAUGGCUCGCCAUUUGCGCGCCUACGUUUCGUCCGUGCACUCACGUGCAGAUACACACGGCGUAGUGAAUGUAACCGAGGCACCGCGACCGCUCCCCUCUCGUUAAAGCCCGAAAAUUGGCAACAGGAAUUCUGUCGCUGUCAUAGGACCCGCUGUUCCUCGUCUAUCUCGGCUUCCGUAAUACUUCAAUUGAAAAGUCCUUGUCAGCGCUCAAAUAACCAUUUACAAAUAUUUUGAUAGAAAAUAUACGAAAAAUGACUGUAUAAAAUACAAUUUAAUUAACAAUUGAUAAUUACCCAUAUGCUUUCAAAUAAACAAUUUUGCAUUUUUGCAGAAGCAACAUAAAAUUCCAAUGCAUAUAAAACAUAUUAAUAAUGAAAAAAAAUGUAUUUUUUAGAUUUUUAACUUUAUUAAAAAUCUAAAAUAUAACUUUGUAUUUUAAAAAAAUAUAUUUUUAACUAUAAUAUAUUAAGAGAAAUAUAAUUAUAAUAUAUAUUAUUAUAUAAGGGAUGUGGUGUGAUUGUGGCAUAAAAAUUGCGCUUCUCUAUAUCAAAAAUUCGGGUUUAAAUUCAUCCAAAACGUAUCAAAUUUUUAAUUGAUCGCUAUCUCUCGAAAGCCAAUGGCAAAUCACCGAGACUACUUUAAUUCGCCAAGAUAAUCACCGUGGAACAUGUUUCAAAUGGAGACCACGAUCUUCGGUCACGAAGGAUCGACUUAAGAGAUACGAGGGGAAAUUUCGAGAUCGAUAAAACAAGGCUACUUAAUUUUACACCCUUCGCCGAGUAUGCGAAGUACUGUGAUCUUUUCACUUCCAGUCUCGAACGCAAGUAGUUCGUUAUCGCAGCUCAUUUCGCAAGUAAAGCGCGCGUGAGCGUGCAAAAUGAAUUCGAGUCGUUGCUAAUAGCAUCCGUGAAAUUAGGAACGUUAUGUGACAAGGACGACAACCUCGGUUGCGCGUUCCCGUACAUAUUUCGUGACUUGCUUUAUGGAGAGAACCCGCUUUAUGAGACUACGCGUAGAUCGCGCACACGUGUUUCGAGCUUCACGCACUAUUAAUUUUGCGGGGAGGACAUUUAGUGUUUCGGUGGAAGUGUCGCCUGGCCUUAUUGCUGCUGUUAAGCGGUUCGUAUCAGCCAUCGCGCGAUGUAAGUUCAUAAACAUAAAAUUGUGCACGGUCAAUGCCGAACGCGAAAAGAUGCGAAGAUGCUUUGGAAAUUGCCUUCAAACGGAAUUCCCCCUCCCCCCUCCCCCCCGUGAAAAGCAUUACAGUAAAACGUAACGCUCUUCAGAUAAGUUCUUAGACAAACUUUGUAACGACUGAUAUUAACAUGGAGUACUACAUCCCUUUUACGAUAAUUAAAUUGCGCCUGGCCUGGAUCAAUUUUAUUACGCUAGAUAAAUUUGACUGCGGUUUUUGGCCGACCAUGGUGGAAAAACCGUAGAGCGAGGGGACAAAGUAUCUCUCGAUUGACCCUCGAGAAGCCAGGAGCAGAGGCAAUUACAUCGCGCGUCUCGUAUCGGCUUUUUCAUAUAGCCUCGGGAAGGCGCGACGAGUUACUGCGAGGAAUCGCGAACGUAUGUACCGGCCAUUACUAUGCUCCGAUUUAUGGCUUUCUCAAGAAGAAUACGAACGCAUCCCGUCCGUGGAAUAAGGAAAGGCGAAUGAAGAAAGGCUAGAAAAUCCACAAUACUCUCGUAACAAACUACGUCCCGCCACACUUGCGAAGUCUCGAGUAGCGGCUUCGUGGUUGGCAUGAAAACGCUCCGCGGACCUAGCCAGGGUGUAUGUUCUCCCGAGCCUACUUCCCAUUCGGAUCGUGUAGGACUGUAGGAGAUUUGGGAGGGCAGGAGGAAGGAGGCGGCGUAUCCAUAUUUCUGCAUAGACCCCAGGUGGGACGAGCGGCGGGGCAGCAGGGAAAAAUGAAGAAGAGAAACGGCCCAGUGUGAUGCUCCGCGACUUUUCCUCCCGGAUUUAGGAUGCAUUCCGGAAUUACCGAGCGCAAAUAUGCCGUGGUUAGCUGAUGAGAUGAGAGCUCGGCAGGAAAAUUCGCGGAGCGCGUAGUUUAUAUUCAACAAUUUUUCAAGGAGAUCUUUUUACGACGCUGCUGCAGGUAAAGCGUAUAUUUCAAUUAGGCAUAUUAAUAACUCACGGAGAUCGGAGAGAUAGAUGUAUAUGCAAUUUACUUUCGCGUCAACGUUAGAAAAUAAACUGCGAUGCGAAUAACCGAUUUGGUAAUUUGGAAUAUAGAGGAAUUAAUUCAUUGGCGCGAAAUUAUAAUAUUAAUUUGUGUCAGAAUUUUGUAUCGCUCGUUUUCAGACUUAUUUGUAUUUGCGAAUUGAUUAUAAAUGUAUGCUGCACUCGAUAUGUUUAAAUUUGUUCGACUGGCUCUCCCGGAUAGUCAUUUAUUUUAUUUAAACAUCUUUAAUCCGUUUAGUAAUGAAUGGGGAAGAUAAAUAAGAGCAAAAUAAAUUCCCGUAUUUGCGUGCACAAACAUAACACCUAUUUUUACUAAAUCAAAGCAGAUUAAUGUUAACAUAUAUCGCGAUACUCUGGAACUUUUAAUCCAAUUGUUUGUGUGUUUCAUAAAAAUCUCGCCUGGUGUGUCGCAACGCGAUAAUGUCUUUCGUAGCGAAUCCUCGGAGAAUAAAAAUUAAUAUCCGAGUUUUUUAAUGUUCCGGCAAAACUCGAUCGGUAGUAAUCGUUGUAAUAUCAAUUUUUAAUUCAUCGUUGCUACAAUGAGAUUAAUUCGCCGACGAGGUGAAAUUAGAGUUCAUAAGCCGUGCGCCGCGUAGUUAAUGGCUAAAAUCGUUUGGCGUGUAAAGAGGAGGGAGAGAAAAAAAGGAGGUUUUAUCGCUCCCGGAGGAUUUAACCCCGACGCUAUUUCGACGUAACUCCAUUAUCCGAACGAGUUUCCCCCGAAUCGUUAAUUUUCUCUGCCAUCGGCCAAAAUUUCGCUCUCGCGCGCCAACACUAUGUGUACUUAAAAAUAUACAUAUGUAUAUAUACUUGCGGCGCGGCGCUCAGUCUCAAAAUUGCGUCGUAUCAAAUUGAAUAAAUGAAGUAACAAUUUAACGCGAAUGGAAUGUGUUUCCAACAAUGGUAUUUGCAGUAACAAAUAUUUGAAAUUUAAUUAAUAAGGAAAUAUAUGGUUAUAUCAGGAAGAAUUAUGUGCAUGCUGAACUUUUUCCUUAAAAUGCUUACUAUUAUUUAUUAUUUUAAAGUUGCAAGGAUUUUUCGCGUAGCGCGACGAGAAAUCUAAUAAACAAUAGAUGCACUAAAAAAAUUGUUUUUGAAAAAUUAAAAUAUUUAAUCCGAUAUAUAUUUAACUGUUUUAAUAACUUUGAUGGUGGAUUCAACAAUUAUUUAGUUGCAUGAAAAAGGUAGAGUUUAUUCAUGUCAACCAUUAAAAUUUUUUAAUCCAGAAUUAAUUAAAGCAACUCAAUAUUUUUUUAGUCGAACCUAUCAGACAUUUCAGUUUUUAACAAAUUUUUUUCCAGUGUACAUUUUCUAUUUCGGAGGGGGAGGGACUCAUUAAUAUCAUUAUCAUAAUUAAUGCUUAAUUGGAUUCAGUAUUAUUCAAUUAAUUACCAAUUUGAUACUGUGAUUAUUAUUCUCAUUUAACUUGAAAACUGCGUUU